UACGUAGGGUGCGAGCGUUACUCGGAAUUACUAGGCGUAAAGCGUGCGCAGGCGGUUUUGUAAGCCAGAUGUGAAAUCCCCGGGCUUAACCUGGGAACUGCGUUUGAAACUGGAAGGCUUGAGUGUGGCAGAGGGGGGUGGAAUUCCACGUGUAGCAGUGAAAUGCGUAGAGAUGUGGAGGAACACCGAUGGCGAAGGCAGCCUCCUGGGCCAACACUGACGCUCAUGCACGAAAGCGUGGGGAGCAAACAGG
rnacentral:rRNA from 1 species